GCUCCUAAAGGAUGUUAGUUUAUCCGUUGGUCUUAGGAACCAAAAACCCUUGGUGCAAAUCCAAGUGGCAGCU
rnacentral:tRNA from 1 species